GACGUAGGUGGCGAACGUUAUCCGGAAUUAUUGGGCGUAAAGGAUGCGUAGAUGGUGUAGUAAGUUAUCGGUGGUAAAUCGAGGCUCAACCUCGUGGAAGUCGGUAAUACUUUUAUGCUAGAGGAUAGGAGAGGUUAACGGAACUCCCUGUGGAGCGGUGAAAUGCGUAGAUAUCUGGAGGAACACCGGUGGCGAAGGCGGCAUCCUGGACCAACACUGACACUGAGGAGCGAAAGCCAGGGGAGCAAACGGG
rnacentral:rRNA from 1 species